UACGUAGGUGACCAGCGUUGUCCGGAUUUACUGGGCGUAAAGAGCGCGCAGGCGGUCGUUCAAGUCGAGUGUGAAAGCCCCCGGCUCAACUGGGGAGGGUCAUUCGAUACUGAUCGACUGGAAGGCAGGAGAGGGAAGCGGAAUUCCCGGUGUAGUGGUGAAAUGCGUAGAUAUCGGGAGGAACACCAGUGGCGAAGGCGGAGACCUGGGCCGAUACUGACGCUGAGGUGCGAAAGCGUGGGGAGCAAACAGG
rnacentral:rRNA from 1 species